rnacentral:tRNA from 1 species
GCCUGGCUGGCUCAGUUGGCAGAGCAUGUGACUCUUGAUCUCAGGGUUGUGAGUUCAAGCCCCAUGUUGGGUG